AUCAUCUCAGAUAUUACAAGACUGGGACAUGCAUUCAUGAAACAGAUGCCCGGGGUCACUGUGUGAAGAAUGGAAUUCACUGUGCCUUUGCUCAUGGUCCACAUGACCUUAGACCACCAGUAUAUGAUAUAAGAGAACUUCAGGCACAGGAAACGUUACAGAAUGGGCAGCUAGGAUGCGGUGAAGGCAUUCCAGAUCUGCAACCAGGAAUUUUAGCAAGCCAGGCAAUGAUUGAGAAGAUCCUUAGUGAAGAUCCAAGAUGGCAGGACACAAAUUUUGUAUUAGCUGGCUACAAGACAGAACAAUGUACCAAGCCACCCAGACUCUGCCGCCAGGGUUAUGCAUGUCCACACUAUCACAAUAGUCGAGAUAGAAGAAGAAAUCCCAGAAAAUUCAAAUACAGGUCCACUCCUUGCCCCAAUGUAAAACAUGCAGAUGAAUGGGGUGAACCUUCCAGGUGUGAAAGUGGGGACAGCUGUCAAUAUUGUCAUUCUCGUACAGAGCAGCAGUUUCAUCCUGAGAUAUAUAAAUCAACAAAGUGCAAUGACAUGCGCCAAACAGGUUACUGCCCGCGUGGUCCAUUUUGUGCAUUUGCACAUGUUGAAAAGGACACCAUGAAUGUAGUCAUACUGCAAACUGGUUGUCAAUCAAAGCCAGGCGCUCACCUGUAUCCAACAGACAGCAUAGGAAUUGCAAAUGAAUGGAGCAGCACUCUUAACUCCACAAACAGCAUUACAAAUAGCAGUGGGCAGUCUGGAAAUAUUUGCUGUUCUUCAAGUCCAACUGUAACAUCAAGUUCCGGUAGCAGUAGUUCUUUGUCACCCCUUGGACCUCUUUGUAGACAGAGAUCAUUAGCAAAUGGCAUUUUGUGUUCUGAGUCUAGCACAUCAGGUGUUUCUUCACCAACAUCUAGCUAUCCAAAAGCACCAGGCUUUGAACGAGAAGAUCAGGCAAAACAUCGAAGCUUCCCAGCUGAGAAUCAGCAGAAAAUAAAUGAGCAAGACAACAAGCAGAACCAUCUCAGUGUUUUUUCAGCAGUUAACCCACUUGCUUCAAGUAUAACUUCCAGUCUGGCCUCCAGCGUAGGAUCAGAUAGUUCAUCUCCUACAACUGUCUCUGCUAUCGGUGCCAAAGCUCUCCCAUUCUAUUCUGGCAGUAACACAGUUGAAUCAGUAAUAGGUUCUGCUUUAGAUCUGCAUUUUAAUGAUGUGAACGUCGCAUCCAUAGAUAGAGAAUUAGAAGAUCAAGAAGGCAGUGACCUUGGAUUAGCAAGUCAAAGAUUACUAGGAAGUUCAGCACCUGUCAAUAUUCCAGGCUCUCUUGUCCGUUCCUCAUCUUUACAUUCAUCAUCAUCCCUUUCAACCUCUCCGCUCAGUUCUCUUUCACAAUCGCUGUCUCAGUCUUUUGUUUCAUCCACUGCGGCUCCGCACCACCAGCAGCCUCAGCCUUUGAAAACAGACCAUAGUAUGUUGGGCACCUCGGCCUCCUCGCACAACUCUCUGGGUUUAAAUGGUGUUACAGGCAGCAUUUGGGACUUUGUAACUGGGAGUUUCUCUCCUAGUCCAUCCCCAGUACUAAGUAGUGGCACGACCCCCUCAAUAAGUUCAAACACCAGUGGGAACGAACUGACUCGAGUUAGACAGGAACUUGAUGAUGCCAAGAGAAAACUAAAACAAUGGGAAGAAUCUUGGCAACAAGUAAAACAGGCAUGUGAUGCAUGGCAGAAGGAGGCUCAAGAAGCAAAAGAACGUGCAAACGUCGCAGAUGCGGACAAACAACUCGCUCUUCAGAAGAAGGAGGAAGUGGAAAAUAAAUUGAAAAAGCUGAAGGCACAAUUAGCUGCUUGUCUAUCUACUACAUUACCUUAUAUGAAAAACUAUGGCGAUAUAGAAAAGAUAUCCUUGCCAAAGCUCCGUUCCUUACAAAAUCGGCUGCACUUAGAUUUAGAAACAAUAGAUGAGGUGAUUUUUCAGCUACAGUCAAAGAAGUGUAUCGUGUGUCAGGAAGGUGAUCGUAGCAUUAUCCUGAAUCCAUGUCAACACUAUGUACUCUGUGAUCACUGUGCAGCUGCACAAGAAGAAUGUCCCUGCUGCAAGAAAAAAAAUAAUCUGUGGUAACAUACAGGCAUAGUAUUCAUAUCACGUUCAUGAAUUAAAUAAUUUUAUGGGUUUGUAUUUUGUAUAAGAAUUAUAUCCCUCAUAAUUAAUCCAUUUAAUAGUGCUAGACUGAUUUCCAUUUUGAUGUGAGAAACUUAGUUGCUUUAAGAUAAGAGAAUAAGGCUUGUUCACCUCUACAUAUCAACUUCAGUCAUUUGCUGAGGUUCUGUAGUCUCAAGGUUCUUUCAUUCCCCCCCAAUCCCAUCGCAGCCUUUUCUGACUUCCACCUACAUUCCUAGUGCACAAGCUACUUAGGUUCAUUUGCACUGUAAUCACUUUGUAUAAAUCUUACCAUAAUGCCUGAAUGAAGUGUUUAUACCUGUUAUUUUCAUUAACAGAAGAUGGAUGCGUAGCUGCAGUACCUCCACACUUGAGGACAAACGGCCCCGUGGCCACGUCCGGUGUGUGUGGAACGCCAGAGCCAGUAUUUUGGAAUCGGUCUAACACUAUGUUUACUUGGAUGUUUGGAAAAACUCUUGAUUAAUAUAAAAGCACUUUUUAAUUAUUGUGUUUUGUUAGAAGAUAUGUUGUAAAUUGCUUCAAGCUGCUUUCUAGGUCUUAUGUUUAUUUUUUAAUAUGCAAUAAUAUGAUGUGUUAUAUGUGUACUGUGAAUUUAAAAUAUUUCACAUGGUUUUACUGUUAAAUCACAAUAUGAUUAAAUAGAAAUGACAAUUUACCUAGUUUUUUUACAAUUUAUAAGUUAACUGUUACUGUAGUAUUUAUAAAUGUACCAGCAGAGACAAAACCAGUGAGGCAUAUAUGCUUUCAUAUUCAAAUUUCAAUGUUUUCAAUUUUGUGAAACAGAUCAGUUUUAGUAAAUAACUGUGCAUUUGCGUAUUUCCCUCAGUUUGGAUGUUUGUAGUCUUAAAGUUUUUGUACAUCUCCUAACCUGUGUGGUACUCAUUGGGAGCAGAUAUGAUAUAUAUAAUAUUACCAAGUGCCUAUGCCCAAUAUCCUAUAAAAUGGCAGAAGACAAAAAAAAGAAUUUUGCAAAUAAUUUCUAUUGCUUAAUUUUGUAUUGAACAAUUUGACAAUAACUAGAAUACAUCUCUUGCUUUUAUAAAUAUUUAAAAAUACACUUUUUUUUCAGGAAUGAAGUAAUGCAUGCUUGAAAGGAGCUACAAAAUUAUUUAAGUAUGAAAUCAGGCAGUGGCACUUUGACACAGUGUUCUUUUAAAAGGUGGAAAUAUCCUUACUUCAUCCUGGUAGUUAGUUGGGAACAUGCAAUUCAGGAGGAGAGGUUAAUUACUGCAUGUUAACACUGUAUAUUUUUACUUUUCUUACCUGGAAUAAUUGCCUGCAUUACUCCUGUUAACUUCAGGCAUGAGCCUAGUACAACUUCAAUUGAAAUGACCUCCUACUGUGUUACAUGAUUUGCGUCUCCCUAUUGCUGUACUCAGCACAGGAGUGAGCUCACUCGGGCAGCAAAGAGUUCAUCUUCUUAAAGUUCAGUCCCAAGAUGGACAGUGAAGUUACUGUUGUCAAAAUAGACAAAAUUUAGAACUGUGUCAGCAUUAAAUAAAGGGCCCAAGCCAAUAGUACUGAAAUCACUUAUUUCCUUUGGGUUUUAGCAUUCUUUGUAAAGAGGCUUGAGUUAGUUCUCACAGAAACGUGCAAUGGUUUUCUGCUAAAUGUACAGAUUUGUUGCUGCUUUCCUAAGACAUGUCAAUCUAGAGGAAGGUUGGAGACCUUUUGGGAAGGGAGAACUAGGAUAAAAUACUUAAUACAUUUGUACUUGCUUCUAUUUCAAAAUUUUGACUAAAGAUCACUUUAAAGACCAAAGCUGGGUUUAAUAAUGUGAUUUUGUUCACUUUAACACAGUUUCUCUAAAAAGUUUGUACUAAGAUUGGACUGUAUUUGCAUUUGCAAACACACUUUUCUGUCCUAAAAUAAGAUACUGCCAUUUAAAACAUAUAGCCAGCUUUGGACUUUUUUAAAAAGGAACUUGGAUCACCAAGUUUGGCUGUAGGUAUUAAUGUAUUUUUUUGCAUCUGUGCAGUCUAGGACAAAGACUGAUUUUUUUGGAACCUUAACAGCAUUUUGGACUAAAGCAAACUUAGCUACGUAAGGGUUUUUUGUUGUUUUUUUUUUUUUUUAAACAGUGAGCAAAUGAAAGAAUAAUGUGUAAUUAGAGUUUGAAAUUAUGUUACAGUAUUUUUCAAACAAGCAGUUACUUUGGACACUGGUUGACUAAUAUUUAUCUAGUGUGGAACAGAAUUCUGUGACCAUUGUGCUCACAAAAAUGGUUAGAAAUAUCUUAGUGAAAAUUUUUGCUUUGGUAUUUUAGGAGAAACCAGCUUAGGCAACACGGUGCUGCCCAUAUGCAGCUCCAUGACAUUUGUUACCCGUGAGAUACGGAAGCGUGGUUUUGUGCCGUCUUGUCAAAGGUUAUAGUUCUUCAUGUGUACUUUAGCGCACUUGCCUGUGUCCUAGGGCUAUUUUUUUAAUUGUAGUAACAGGCGAUUUUCCUAAUCUCGUGACACCAACAACAAAGGAAUGUAAACAGCACUUGCGGUGUGAAUUGUCACAUUGACAUUCAUAGUUUAUAUGUGCUGCAUUUUUCUAGGAAAUAAACUAAUAUGUUUAGUCUGUUGCUUUUAAAAGUUGUACGUUUUGUGUUUUACAGUGAUGGAUCUUGAAAAUAAUGACGUGUGUCCUAUAGAAAUAUCAGUACUGAAAAUUUUGCAGGUGAUCUCUGUAAGUUUCUUUGGUGCUGAAUUACAGACACAUUUAAAAACUAUCAACAAACCCUUUUGUGGAGAAGGAAAAGCACAUACCAAAGAAACAGACCUAGGGGUGAAAUUCUGGGACUGGGCAGCUUGCUAUAAUUACAGACAAAUCCUUAGGUAAUCACUUGAACCAUCAUCACACACAGCAGUCAUAGGAAAAUAAUGCAGUUGUUCUUCACAAAAUUCUUUUUGUGAGGAAUCACAAGCAGGUUUUCUGUAUCUUAUUAAAGCAAGUCAACUGCAACUACAAAUAAAUACCUACUUUUACACCAGUACUUUACAAUGGAGGACAGUAAAAUACAUGCAGUUGACUGGAGACGACUGUUUGGGAGGAGUCAGAAGUGAAAGCUGACCUCUGGUUUCAACCACUGGGAUUGGCGUUUACUGGUUCUGAGGAGAAAGAGCUCUAACUGUGAUAGAAAGAAACGGAUUCAGCAGAACAGUCUACAAGACAGAGGCUAUCAAAUGGCAACAGGAGAUGCCAUUUAGGAGGAGCACACAAGUCUUCUUUCUACAGUCCCUGCCUCUUGGAUCCUCCAGUGUCAGGGAUGUUAGAAACUGCAGCCAAUUUAGACUCACCUUACACAAGAUGGCAGCUUUGUACCUUCAUCAGAUGCAGGGAAUGUGCCAGCAUACAGGAGUGAGGAUGUGGAUGCACCAAGGGUUUCUGGAGCUUCUUGUCCUGUCAUAAUGCCCAAGACUUUUCCAGACUUUUUGUUUUCCCCAGCAGACACUGCACAUCCUGCCAGGCAAGUAAAUUAAAGCAGGUUACUAAAAAGUAAUGCUGGCCUUGCACAAGAAAUUCAAUAAUGAGGGUGAGGACAGUGUGGAUGGAACAAUCCCAUCAAGGUGGAAGGGACAGACAGAUGCACAUGAUGACUUACUCCCACGUAGCUUGGUGACAAAGCUGCAGCACCUCAUGCCUUUUGGCCAUCCACUUGCCUUCCCCGUACACCCCCAGGCCUUGCCCUUGCCCUGCAGCACCCACCAUGAGGUCCCCAUUUACUUUCAGAUGGCCUCAGAUUUUUGAGGACGUUUGAGGCACCUGGUGGCCCCUGCUUCUGUUCUGGUGUGCCCCAGGUGGUGAGAGCGUGCUAAGGAACAGCGUGCCUACAGACAGUCUAACGAGUAUUGUGAAGGGCAGCAAAAACAUUAUGAUAACUCUUCAGCUAAUUGAGCCUAUUCAUUAAAUAUUUUCCUCAAUUUAAGCUUCCUUGAUUUUAUACAUUUAAAAUUAGAAAACUUUUAACUUCCAAAUGUCAUGACUAGAUCCGUGACUUGAAACUAAUCCAAGUCACAGUAAACGUUAACCCACAAAUACAGAGUAUUACCUGUGAAAACCCAACUGUCCACUCACUGCCUUUCUAAAAGGAGGCAACUGCUUCAGUUCAAAACCUGGGUGACAGGCAUCUUCAUUAAAAAAAAAAAAUAAAAUUUAAAAACUUCAGCUGUAGUGACAUAUAAUUAUCUAUCACCUACCCAAAAUCUCAGCAUAAAGGAUUUAAUGCUGAGAUACUCCCAAGUUCCCAGAGGUAUAUAAGGCAGUACCUGUAGUCCUCAGGGAUGAGGAUAAACAAUCAGUUACACAUCAAAAUAAUAAACACAAUGGCUACUUACUCAGAAAGUUUGGCCUGAAAGUUGGUAACAGUCUCUUCAGUAAACUCUAUCUCUUCAACACCAUUUCUUGAAUUCCUGGAACACUUUGCAUAAUUAGCACCAGAGAUGCACACAAAUUAGGACUGACUAAAGGGCAGUGUUAAAAUUACAAAAUAAUAUUGCCUUCAUUUGUCAGAUGUUCUGAUGUUAAUUGCAAAGAUUCUGAACUGUAGUUUCUUAGCCAUUCUUCCAUGGUUUGCAUCUUUUUAGACUGUAUUUUCUUCAUUUGUACUUCUAUGGAUCAAAUAAGAAAAAAUUAAAUGCAGUAUGAGAAAUGAAAUGUGCUGUUCAAAUGUGACAAAAAUAUAACUCCCAAGGAUGGCUGCUGGUAGGCAGUUCAUAUCCAAGAACAAAGUUAUUUUAGGUACUGGCAUACUCUUUUUGGAUGUGGAAUGCAAAGGAAAAGGUUUCAGAAUACACUCAGAUUGAGCUAAAAGGAAGGGGAAGGAGAGCUUAGUUUGGAGGAGACAGGAAGGAAGACAAGAAAUAGGACAGCUUAGUAAAAGAAGAAAUAAAAUAAAUACCCCAGUGAUUUACCAGAGAGGAAGAAAAAUUAAGCAUCUCCAAAACCCAGCUCACAGAGUUUGAAGGGGUAUAUAUUGUUUUCUGCUUUUCUAAAGUAAAAUGCAGCAUCAACAGCUGAUCUACGUUUAUUGUUUUGCCUGAUUUGUUCACAGACUGAUUCAUCUCUGCAAAGAAACUACAUGUAGUUUCACGACUUUAGUGAAAUUCUCUGUGUGUAAUGCAAAUAUACGUAAGGAAACAUU